rnacentral:rRNA from 1 species
AAUAGAUACCCCGGUAGUCCACGCCGUAAACGAUGAGUGCUAAGUGUUAGGGGGUUUCCGCCCCUUAGUGCUGCAGCUAACGCAUUAAGCACUCCGCCUGGGGAGUACGGUCGCAAGACUGAAACUCAAAGGAAUUGACGGGGGCCCGCACAAGCGGUGGAGCAUGUGGUUUAAUUCGAAGCAACGCGAAGAACCUUACCAGGUCUUGACAUCCCAUUGACCACUAUGGAGACAUAGUUUUCCCUUCGGGGGCAACGGUGACAGGUGGUGCAUGGUUGUCGUCAGCUCGUGUCGUGAGAUGUUGGGUUAAGUCCCGCAACGAGCGCAACCCUUGUUCUUAGUUGCCAUCAUUUAGUUGGGCACUCUAAGGAGACUGCCGGUGACAAACCGGAGGAAGGUGGGGAUGACGUCAAAUCAUCAUGCCCCUUAUGACCUGGGCUACACACGUGCUACAAUGGACGGUACAAACGGUUGCCAACCCGCGAGGGGGAGCUAAUCCGAUAAAACCGUUCUCAGUUCGGAUUGUAGGCUGCAACUCGCCUACAUGAAGCC